rnacentral:rRNA from 1 species
GACGAACCGUCCAAACGUUAUUCGGAAUUACUGGGCUUAAAGGGUGCGUAGGCGGCGCGGUAAGUUGGGUGUGAAAUCCCUCGGCUCAACCGAGGAAUUGCGCCCAAAACUGUCGUGCUUGAGGGAGACAGAGGUGAGCGGAACUGAUGGUGGAGCGGUGAAAUGCGUUGAUAUCAUCAGGAACACCAGUGGCGAAAGCGGCUCACUGGGUCUCUUCUGACGCUGAGGCACGAAAGCUAGGGGAGCAAACGGG